rnacentral:tRNA from 1 species
AAAGGGAGACCUAAUUCGGGUAUAAGACGAAAAAAUAGUAGUCGAAACCAAGAAUCAAUCCCAAAAGGUCGGAACGAGGUAUGUGGCUUUCAAACUAGGUUCUGGGUUCAUAAAAGACCUGAAUCAGGAACAAGGGCUAUUAGCUCAGGUGGUUAGAGCGCACCCCUGAUAAGGGUGAGGUCCCUGGUUCGAGUCCAGGAUGGCCCACCUGCACAGGUGGCAAAAACAAGAGAAGCGAGGAAUCAGCGCCUUAUCCUAAUUUAUAUAUAGGAGAGAAUGCUGGCUCUGAGUAAAGAGUCCAGAGGAACCUUGAAAACUGCAUAGAGCUAGGUGAAAAAGCCAAAAAAGAAGACCGCAAG